CUACGGGAGGCAGCAGUGGGGAAUUUUGGACAAUGGGGGAAACCCUGAUCCAGCCAUCCCGCGUGUAUGAUGAAGGCCUUCGGGUUGUAAAGUACUUUUGGCAGAGAAGAAAAGGUACCUCCUAAUACGAGGUACUGCUGACGGUAUCUGCAGAAUUUUCACCGGCUAACUACGUGCCAGCAGCCGCGGUAAU
rnacentral:rRNA from 1 species